rnacentral:rRNA from 1 species
CCCUUAGAUGUUCUGGGCCGCACGCGCGCUACACUGACGAAGUCAGCGAGCAUGUCCUACGCCGACAGGUGCGGGGAAUCUUGUCAAACUUCGUCGUGAUGGGGAUUGAUUAUUGAAAUUCUUGAUCAUCAACGAGGAAUUCCUAGUAAGCGCAAGUCAGCAGCUUGCGUUGAUUACGUCCCUGCCCUUUGUACACACCGCCCGUCGCUACUACCGAUUGAAUGGUUUAGUGAGGGCCUCGGAUUGGUCUCGGCCCGCUCUUUACCGGGCGGCGCCGUUGGUCGAGAAGACGCUCGAACUUGAUCGUUUAGAGGAAGUAAAAGUCGUAACA